AACGAACGCUGGCGGCAGGCUUAACACAUGCAAGUCGAGCGCCCCGCAAGGGGAGCGGCAGACGGGUGAGUAACGCGUGGGGACGUACCUUUUGGUUCGGAACAACUCCGGGAAACUGGAGCUAAUACCGGAUAAGCCCUAACGGGGAAAGAUUUAUCGCCGAAAGAUCGGCCCGCGUCUGAUUAGCUAGGUGGUGGGGUAACGGCACACCAAGGCGACGAACAGUAGCUGGUCUGAGAGGAUGAUCAGCCACACUGGGACUGAGACACGGCCCAGACUCCUACGGGAGGGAGCAGUGGGGAAUAUUGGACAAUGGGGGCAAGCCUGACCCAGCCAUGCCGGGUGAGUGAUGAAGGGCUUAGGGUUGUAAAUCUCUUUUGUCCGGGAAGAUAAUGACGGUACCGGAAGAAUAAGCCCCGGCUAACUUCGUG
rnacentral:rRNA from 1 species